rnacentral:rRNA from 1 species
UAUAUAGUUAAUGUGCCUUAGAGAUUGGGAUAGCCACUGGAAACGGUGAUUAAUAAAGGAUACACCUUUUUAACCUAAGUUAAGGAGGGAAAUGAAUUUCGCUAUAAGAUCAGACUAUAUCCUAUCAGCUAGUUGGUGAGGUAAUGGCUCACCAAGGCAAUGACGGGUAGCGGGUUUGAGAGGAUGAUCCGCCACACUGGCCCGAGACACGGACCAGACUCCUACGGGAGGCAGCAGUGAGGAAUAUUGCACAAUGGGGGGAACCUUGAUGCAGCAACGCCGCGUGGAGGAUGACGCAUUUCGGUGUGUAAACUCCUUUUAUAUGUCAAGAAAAUGACGGUAGCAUACGAAUAAGCACCGGCUAAAUCCGUG